CACAUUAACUCAUUGUAUUAGCCUAACCUUUGAUCCUUUGUGGUAAUAGUCUGAGGCUUUUGAAUGACCUUAACACCAAGUUAAUGUCAGUCUCUGGCUGAGGUAAAGAAUCGUCAUUUGUUCUGUGUGGUAUACACAGCCUAGUAUGCUCACUAAAUUCCCCUAGUUUUUUGUCUAAACUUCCAUUGACACUUGAAUUAUACAUUCAAAUGUAAUCUGGACGGCAUCCAGUGGUAGUUUAUGGUGUAUUUUCUCCAGACUCUCCUUCACCUGAAACAAAGGACUGAUUGUGAUCUGAAUAUAUGUAACAAUGUACCUGUCAAGUGGUCAUGGAGAAAAUCUUAACCCAUAUCAAAUGCAUGAAGUAAUCCUACGCUGUCCUCACAAACAGCUGAAUCCUACCUUGAGCUAUGUGAGCUCAUGGCCUCAAACACGGAAAUAAAAUGUUGAAUGUGUUGAAAUGUAACACUAGUUUCUUCACCAGCAUGCCAAGCCACUAACACCACCUCAUUCUUUCACUACAUUAUUUGAUUUGUUUUAUCCAACAUCCGUAUUCUGUAUUAGUAAUUGUUAAAUCUGUGUGUUCUCUGUCCCUUUUUAUGUAACCGAUCGUGUACCUGACGCCACUCAUACAACCCCAGACACCAACAACAAUGCUGGGAAAAUAGUGGGCAGUGUUGGUGUACUUGUGCCAAGUCUUCUACUUUACCUCAGUCUCCUCCUGCUUCAUUGAGAAGGAAGGAGUCACAGUAAAAUGGCUGCUGUGAUGUCCCCUGAAUCUACCACCCUCCCAAACACGGGGAAUGGUUCAUAUACUUUAAAAGGAAUCUCUAUUACACGAUGAUUAGAAACCUCCUGAUGAAGAAUGUAUUGGUUCACUUCCAUUUGGGAGCUUGUGCUUAAGGAGUGGCCUAACUUGAUUACUUGUAUGUUUCCAGUGUACUUCACAAAUCACUCCUAGUCUGAUCCUGAUUUAACUCAUUGCAACAUUCUCAUGUUAAAAUUCACCCAUAUGUAGGGUCUCUGAUUUUCUGGGUGAACAUGCCUCACAAAGCCAAUUUUGCCAGCUC